AGUGAACGCUGGCGGUAGGCCUAACACAUGCAAGUCGAACGGCAGCACAGUAAGAGCUUGCUCUUACGGGUGGCGAGUGGCGGACGGGUGAGGAAUACAUCGGAAUCUACUUUUUCGUGGGGGAUAACGUAGGGAAACUUACGCUAAUACCGCAUACGACCUACGGGUGAACGCAGGGGAUCUUCGGACCUUGCGCGAUUGAAUGAGCCGAUGUCGGAUUAGCUAGUUGGCGGGGUAAAGGCCCACCAAGGCGACGAUCCGUAGCUGGUCUGAGAGGAUGAUCGUCCACACUGGAACUGAGACACGGUCCAGACUCCUACGGGAGGCAGCAGUGGGGAAUAUUGGACAAUGGGCGCAAGCCUGAUCCAGCCAUACCGCGUGGGUGAAGAAGGCCUUCGGGUUGUAAAGCCCUUUUGUUGGGAAAGAAAAGCAGCAGGUUAAUACCCCGCUGUUCUGACGGUACCCAAAGAAUAAGCACCGGCUAACUUCGUG
rnacentral:rRNA from 1 species